AUUGAACGCUGGCGGCAGGCCUAACACAUGCAAGUCGAGCGAGCGGCGGACGGGUGAGGAAUGUCUGGGAAACAGCCCGAUGGAGGUGGAUAACUACUGGAUACGGUAGCUAAUAUCGCAUACCAUCAGAUGUGUCCAGAUGGGAUUAGCUAGUAGGUGGGGUAACGGCUCACCUAGGCGACGAUCCCUAGCUGGUCUGAGAGGAUGACCAGCCAGACUGGAACUGAGACACGGUCCAGACUCCUACGGGAGGCAGCAGUGGGGAAUAUUGCACAAUGGGCGCAAGCCUGAUGCAGCCAUGCCGCGUGUGUGAAGAAGGCCUUCGGGUUGUAAAGCACUUUCAGCGGGGAGGCGUUACCCGCAGAAGAAGCACCGGCUAACUCCGUGCCAGCAGCCGCGGUAAUUC
rnacentral:rRNA from 1 species